rnacentral:rRNA from 1 species
UACAGCGGGAAGCCACCUGGCGGCAGGGCGCGGAACCCGAAAACCUGUCUCAGUUCGGAUUGGAGUCUGCAACCCGACUCCAUGAAGCUGGAUUCGCUAGUAAUCGCGCAUCAGCCACGGCGCGGUGAAUACGUUCCCGGGCCUUGUACACACCGCCCGUCAAGCCAUGGAAGCCGGGAGUGCCUGAAGUGCGUGACCGCAAGGAGCGUCCUAAGGCAAUACCGGUGACUGGGGCUAAGUCGUAACAAGGUAAC